rnacentral:rRNA from 1 species
GAUGAACGCUGGCGGCGUGCCUCAAACAUGCAAGUCGAGCGAGGCUAUGAGUUACCGCAAGGUAAGGCAUAGCCUAGCGGCGAACGGGUGAGUAACACGUGGGUAACCUACCUGGAAGACAGGGAUAACGAUUCGAAAGGGUCGCUAAUACCUGAUAAUAUCCAUCUGCCGGAUGGCGGAGGGAAGAAAGGGGAAACCCGCUUUCAGAUGGGCCCGCGUCCCAUCAGCUAGUUGGUAAGGUAAAGGCUUACCAAGGCGACGACGGGUAGCCGGUCUGAGAGGAUGUACGGCCACACUGGGACUGAGAUACGGCCCAGACUCCUACGGGAGGCAGCAGUGGGGAAUAUUGCACAAUGGGCGAAAGCCUGAUGCAGCGACGCCGCGUGAGGGAUGACGGCCUUCGGGUUGUAAACCUCUUUCAGCAGGGAAGAAGCGAAAGUGACGGUACCUGCAGAAGAAGCACCGGCUAACUACGUG